AGUAACAAAUAAUUCAAGGAUUCGGGAGGAAUUCCAAGCUGCAUGCACUUGAUCCUCCUAAGAUGUGUCACGAAUCUAUUAUUACGUCUAGCAAACAAAAUCUGAAGGAAAUUCAAGCCGCGCGCAUCAUCGUUUAAUCCCUUCUUCGACUUUUUCAUAAUCUACUAGGAGAAUUGAUGCAAACAAGAAUGGCUUCAGCUAGCGCGACAUGUACGGACAGCUCAAAUAGGUGUACCUAGCCAUUAGGAGUUAGUUAUUAGCGGAAGCGAAUAGGAUGAAAGUUAUUAAGUAAGCAGUUAAGUCCCUAUAGGUUUCUUAAAGCAAGUUUGAUAAAUUGUAAUUAUGUCCAUAGUUUUAUCCUAAUUUGACACUUAUAGUCCCUUUUUGCUUUACCCUAAUUUUUCUUCUUAGCUUCUUUUUUCUUUUCUUACUGUUACAUUGCCAUCGCCGACAUCAAGAAUACAGUAGGGACACAACAAACUACAACAAUCAACAUGCCUGCUUGGCUACGACAAGUUGAAACAAACGUUUGGAUGCAGUGAACUGAAGCGACACUCUUCUUAGGCGGCAAACUUGGUUCUCUUUCGCUUCUGCUAGAAUUGAUUGCCGACGCAAGUGAAGUACCAAGAAGGCUUUCGUCCGCUUUAAACUGUCUUAAACGUCUUCACAUAUGAGGAUAUACAAGAACUGAUGAGCUUGAAUGAGGAAGAGACACACAAAAAAACCUCUCUGUUGCUAGACUUUGAGGAAAAUGCUCGGAAGGAGGAGAUAACAUGGAGAUAAAUGUCCAGGGCCUUAUGGUUGAAAGAAGGUGACAGAAAUACUAAGUUCUUUCACAGAACUGUAAAUGCCCAUAAAAGAUAUAACAAUAUUGACAAGCUACAAGUCAAUGGGGGAAAAUGUGGAGAAUCUUGAAGAUAUCAAGAGGGAGAUAAUUUCUUUUUACCAAAAAUUAUACACAGAAACUGAGGAGUGGAGACCAGAAUGCAGCCUAAGGGACUGUCAAACUAUUAGCUCAGAGGAUAAUCAGAUGUUAUUGAGCCCUUUUGAGCCUCAUGAAAUCUGGGAGAGUGUCAAAACAUGUGCAGGGGACGAAGCUCCUGGUCCAGAUGGGUAUACUAUGGCUUUCUACAUUCAAUGCUGGGAAAUGAUCAGUCAAGAUGUGAUAGCUGCAGUCCAUUUUCAAGUUACUGGGGUCUUUGAAACAAGCUUUAAUGCCACUUUGGUGGCUUUGAUUCCUAAGAAAGUUGGAGCUAAAGAACUGAAAGAUUUCAGACCUAUCAGUCUGAUAGGUUGUGUCUACAAAAUAAUCUUAAAACUCCUAACAGAAAGAAUCAAGAAAGUAAUGGGCAAGCAGGUGGACAAUCAAUAGAUGACCUUCAUCAAAGGUAGGCAAAUAAUGGAUGCUAUUCUCAUUGCAAAUGAGAGUGUAGAUGCUAGAAUAAAGAGCAAAGAACCUGGUAUCUUGUGCAAGCUGGGCAUAGAAAAGGCAUAUGAUCACCUUAACUGGGAGUUUUUGCUGCGAAUACUUUCGAAAAUGGGCUUUGAUGAAAGAUGGAUUAGUUGGAUCAAAUUCAGCAUUAGUACUGUCAAAUUCUCUAUUUUAGUCAAUGGUUCACCUGUUGGUUUCUUCUCCUCUCCGAGAGGUUUGAGGCAGGGAGAUCCAAUCUCCCCUUUUCUAUUUAUUCUGGCUAUGGAAGGUUUAAACAAUAUGUUUAAAACUGCCAUAGCAAAUAAUAGGAUCAGGGGUUCAGGGUAAACUCUAGGGAGUCAACCAACCUGGAAAUCACCCAUCUACAAUAUGCAGAUGAUACUUUGGUGUUUUGUGAUGCUAGCAUAGAACAAUUGCUCUUUCUGAGAUUGGUUUUCAUUCUUUUUGAAGCAAUAUCUCGACUACACAUUAACUGGAACAAGAGUUUCAUCUAUCCAGUUAAUGAAAUGAUGGAGAUGCAUAGUUUGGCUAGAAUACUGGGGGGAACAUAUGAGCUCUACCAACAGUGUAUCUGGGAAAGCCACUUGGAGCAAAAAGCAAGUCAAAAGGAAUAUGGAAUGGGGUAAUUGAGAAAUGUGAAAAGAAACUUGUUAGUUGGAAGAGCCAUUACCUAUCUUUGGGAGGGAGACUAAUCCUUAUCAAUAGUGUUUUGGAUGCCAUGCCUACUUACAUGAUGUUUUAAUUUCUAGUUUCGUCCAGUGUAGUUAAAAGAAUAGAUGCACUGAGAGGAAACUUUCUAUGGCAAGACACCAGUGAUAAGAGUAAGUUUCAUCUGGUCAGGUAGGAAGUACUUAUUACCAGCAAGAAAUAAGGGGGAACGGGGAUCAGAAAUUUGAAAAUUCAGAAUCAAGCAUUGAUGAUGAAGUGGUUAUGGAGGUUUGCCACAACAGAGCAAUCUUUGUGGAAGAAGGUAAUUCAGGAAAGGUAUGGGAUUGAAGGUAGUUGGACAAGAAAAACAGUUUGUACUCCUUAUGGGGUGAGUCUGUGGAGGUCUAUCAGAAGCACAUGGCCAAGGUUCAGAAACAAUCUCAGUCUCAGAGUUGGAAAUGGAAGGAAAAAAUCCUUCUGGGAAGAUAAAUGGCUUGGACAGAGAACUUUAAAGCAACUAUUUCCGGACAUUUACAAUCUGAAUCAACAACAAAGAGCCUCUGUUGGAGAACUUUGGACAGGCUGACGGAUUUCUAUGAUACUGUACAACAGUUUAGAGGGACCACCAACAAUGAAGAUAUGUUGUUCUGGCAAGGGGGGAAAGGAGGAAUUUUCUCUAUUAGAUCAGCUUACAAGGAAUACAACCAUUCUAAUAAUCAGAUUGAUUGUUGACCUUGGAAAUGAUCUAGAAAGUUAAAAUACCUAAUAAAGUGACAUGUUUUGUCUGGCUUCUAGCAAGAGAAGCUGUCCUAACCCAAGAUAAUCUCACGAAGAGAGGAUAUCAGUUGGGGUCCAGAUGUUACUUAUGUAAAGCUCAGGAGGAGACAAUCAACCAUCUUUUUUGCACUACAGUGUCACAGAUCAAAUUUGGAAGAUAUUCAUCAACCUGAGGGGAAUUAAAUGGGUUAUGCCAGGGAGAAUCAGGGAAGUCCUAACAAGUUGGAAGGAGAGAUAGAAUGCAGUCUAGCCAGAAGGAGAGAUGGAAUAUUGUCCCUACAAGGGUGAAUAGGAAGAAGCAACAAAGCUAAUAAAUACACUCUUCCUUCUCUCUAGGAAGAAGGGUGAAUAGUAAAUCCGUUACUAUUCAUCGGCCAUAACUUCGGAAUCUAGCAGUGGAUUUUCGCAAACUUGAUAUCAAAAGAUUCAUUUUCUCUUUGCGCACAAUCCCCAAUUGGUUUCACCCUCAAAUCCAUAGUCAAUUGUUACAGAUCUACAAAUUGGUUCGUCCAUUACUGUAGCAAAACAGUGUAUCUGGGCAGCUUCUUCUUUUCUGUGCGAUGUAGUGUUGAAACUUGUGCGUAAUAGAGCCUUUCCAUGGCAGCCAACAUCUCUCCCCAACCUUUGGCUGUGGGAGAGCAGAAUCCAAACUCAAAUGAAGUUACUCCAAACAUCAACAACUUUGUUACAUAUGCAGCAAGUUUGAAUCAAAAGCAAUCUGCCACAUCUCUCACAAAAACGAGUUUGAAACCUUUUGAAAUUGUUCAUGGAGUUCCUACCAUUCAAUUUUCCAUGGAUGAACGUGAAGAAUUUGCAAAGGAGGAAGGAUUACAUCAAGCAGUGAUGAUAAAAUUGUCCAGCGACGUACCAAAUUUACAGAUUUUAAGGAGUAUUCUGCCGAAAAUCUUUGGUAUCAAAGGU